GUGCUCAUUUUGGCAGCACAUAUAUUAAAACUGAAACAAUACAGAGAUUAGCAUGGCCCCUGUGCAAGGAUGACAUGCAAAUAUGGAAGCAUUCCAUAUUUUC